rnacentral:rRNA from 1 species
AACGAACGCUGGCGGCAUGCCUAACACAUGCAAGUCGAACGAGACCUUCGGGGCUAGUGGCGCACGGGUGCGUAACGCGUGGGAAUCUACCCUCAGGUUCGGAAUAACUCAGAGAAAUUUGAGCUAAUACCGGAUGAUGACGUAAGUCCAAAGAUUUAUCGCCUGAGGAUGAGCCCGCUUAGGAUUAGGUAGUUGGUGAGGUAAAGGCUCACCAAGCCGACGAUCCUUAGCUGGUCUGAGAGGAUGAUCAGCCACACUGGGACUGAGACACGGCCCAGACUCCUACGGGAGGCAGCAGUGGGGAAUAUUGGACAAUGGGCGAAAGCCUGAUCCAGCAAUGCCGCGUGAGGGAUGAAGGCCUUAGGGUUGUAAAGCUCUUUUACCCGGGAUGAUAAUGACAGUGCCGGGAGAAUAAGCUCCGGCUAACUCCGUGC